rnacentral:rRNA from 1 species
UGGGGAAUCUUAGACAAUGGGCGCAAGCCUGAUCUAGCCAUGCCGCGUGAGCGAUGAAGGCCUUAGGGUUGUAAAAUUCUUUCAACGGUGACGAUAAUGACGGUAACCGUAGAAGAAGCCCCGGCUAACUUCGUGCCAGCAGCCGCGGUAAUACGAAGGGGGCUAGCGUUGUUCGGAAUUACUGGGCGUAAAGCGCGCGUAGGCGGACUUUUAAGCCAGAUGUGAAAUCCCGAGGCUCAACCUCGGAACUGCAUUUGGAACUGGGAGUCUAGAGGUCAGGAGAGGUUCGUGGAAUGCCGAGUGUAGAGGUGAAAUUCGUAGAUAUUCGGUGGAACACCAGUGGCGAAGGCGACGAACUGGACUGAUACUGACGCUGAGGUGCGAAAGUGUGGGGAGCAAACAGGAUUAGAUACCCCCGUAGUCC